UACGUAGGGGGCGAGCGUUGUCCGGAAUUACUGGGCGUAAAGCGCGCGCAGGUGGCUUGUUAAGUCAGGUGUCAAAAUGCGGGGCUCAACCCCGUACCGCACUUGAAACUGGCAGGCUUGAGUGCAGGAGAGGGAAGUGGAAUUCCUAGUGUAGCGGUGAAAUGCGUAGAUAUUAGGAGGAACACCAGUGGCGAAGGCGACUUCCUGGACUGUAACUGACACUGAGGCGCGAAAGCUAGGGGAGC
rnacentral:rRNA from 1 species